rnacentral:rRNA from 1 species
AACGAACGCUGGCGGCAGGCCUAACACAUGCAAGUCGAACGCCCUAGCAAUAGGGAGUGGCAGACGGGUGAGUAACACGUGGGAACGUGCCUUUCGGUUCGGAAUAACCCAGGGAAACUUGGACUAAGUACCGGAUACGUGCGAGAGCAGAAAGAUUUAGUACGCCGGAAAGAUCGGCCCGCGUCCGAUUAGCUAGUUGGUGAGGUAAUGGCUCACCAAGGCGACGAUCGGUAGCUGGUCUGAGAGGAUGAUCAGCCACACUGGGACUGAGACACGGCCAGACUCCUACGGGAGGCAGCAGGUGGGGAAUUUUGGACAAUGGGGGCAACCCUGAUCCAGCCAUGCCGCGUGAGUGAAGAAGGCCUUCGGUU